rnacentral:lncRNA from 1 species
GAGUGGCAUGAUGGACUCGUCCCUGGGAAGUUGACCAUUCGGGAACCACGGCCCUCGAAGUCAUGGUACCUCAGUCUCAGUGGGAUCUUCCUUUCCUAAAUGAGGAACGGGACUCAAAGAGGAACACCCCAAGGUCAUACAGCGAGUCUGUGGCUAGGCAUGGGUCUGCUCAGACUUCCAGCAGUAGGUGACCUUCUGACUCAGAGCUCCGCUGCUGGGAAAUGCCACCAGAGCUUUCCUCUCUGUGUCUCCUGACAUCCAGGGUGUGCAGCUAGGCAGAGUCUUUCUGUGAAGCACAUGCUACCACUAAAACUCAUGAUCCUCCUGCCUCAGCAUCCAGAGAA